GGGUGCGAUCAUACCAGCACUAAUGCACCGGCUCCCAUCAGAACUCCGCAGUUGAGCGUGCUUGGGCGAGAGUAGUAAUAGGAUGGGUGACCUCCUGGGAAGUCCUCGUGUUGCACCCC
rnacentral:rRNA from 1 species